rnacentral:rRNA from 1 species
UACGGAGGGGGCGAGCGUUGUUCGGAAUUAUUGGGCGUAAAGGGCGCGUAGGCGGCCGGCCAAGUCGGGUGUGAAAUCCCUCGGCUCAACCGAGGAACUGCACUCGAUACUGGCUGGCUCGAGUCCGGGAGGGGAUGGUGGAAUUCCCAGUGUAGCGGUGAAAUGCGUAGAUAUUAGGAAGAACACCAGUGGCGAAGGCGGCUCACUGGUCCGGUACUGACGCUGAGGUGCGAAAGCGUGGGGAGCAAACAGG